UACAGAGGGUGCGAGCGUUGUCCGGAAUCACUGGGCGUAAAGGGCGCGUAGGCGGCCUGAUAAGUAGGGGGUGAAAUCCUGUGGCUUAACUGCAGGGCUGCCUCCUAGACUGUUAGGCUCGAGCACGGUAGAGGCAGAUGGAAUUCCCGGUGUAGCGGUGGAAUGCGUAGAGAUCGGGAAGAACAUCGGUGGCGAAGGGCGGUCUGCUGGGGUCGAACUGACGCUGAGGCGCGACAGCGUGGGGGAGCAAACGAGG
rnacentral:rRNA from 1 species